UUCGUGAACGCUGGCGGUAUGCUUAACACAUGCAAGUCGAACGAACUCUUCGGAGUGAGUGGCGGACGGGUGAGUAACGCGUGAGAAUCUGCCUGUGGGUCGGGGACAACCACUGGAAACGGUGGCUAAUACCGGAUGAGCCGAAAGGUAAAAAAUUUAUUGCCCACAGAUGAGCUCGCGUCUGAUUAGCUAGUUGGUAAGGUAAAAGCGUACCAAGGCGACGAUCAGUAGCUGGUCUGAGAGGAUGAGCAGCCACACUGGGACUGAGACACGGCCCAGACUCCUACGGGAGGCAGCAGUGGGGAAUUUUCCGCAAUGGGCGAAAGCCUGACGGAGCAAGACCGCGUGGGGGAGGAAGGUUUUUGGAUCGUAAACCCCUUUUGUCAAGGAAGAAGUUCUGACGGUACUUGACGAAUAAGCCUCGGCUAACUCCGUGCCAGCAGCCGCGGUAAUACGGAGGAGGCAAGCGUUAUCCGGAAUGAUUGGGCGUAAAGCGUCUGUAGGUGGCCAGCUAAGUCUGCUGUUAAAGAUCACAGCUCAACUGUGGGAAGGCAGUGGAAACUGGCAAGCUAGAGGCUGGUAGGGGUAAAGGGAAUUCCCGGUGUAGCCGGUGAAAUGCGUAAUAUCGGGAAAGAACACCGGUGGCGAAAAGCCCUUUACUUGGGCCCCGACCUGA
rnacentral:rRNA from 1 species